rnacentral:lncRNA from 1 species
UUUCCAGUGGCAAGCUUUGUCAGAUUAAAGCCCUGAAGUUGAUACAAACUUCCAGACCCUGUAGGUUUGGUGUCUGCAGCUAGAUCAGAGUUGAACAUCUCUCAUCUCAAGAGGUGAAUAUUAUGAUCGGGAGUCUGGGUGUCUGGGGGCAGCUGCUAGACAAUUACCUCUAUGCCAGAUACUUGCCAAGGAUCCUGAGCAAAGAUUCUGCCUGACUGUAAG